CGUGAAGCCUGUUAUGGUCAUUCUACAUUAGAGAUUAAAAACGGAACCCACGCAUUCUAUCACUGGAACCGAAAUAAUGAUGGGAAAAAAGUACCAACUGAUGAUGUGAUAUUCCACAAUCAGUACUGGGCAAGCAACAUGGGGAGGAGGUGACUGAAGAAGAAUCGUUCUAAGGCCGGAGAGGAAUGAAUUGCUUAAAAUAUUUGGAUCAUAUUGCUUAAACAUUUAUCAGAUCAUGCUUUCUAGAAGACAACAAUUAAGUUCAUGGAUAAUUUUCCAAUAUAUGCCUGGCUCGUUAGUUUGUGCAGCAUAUGAAAGGUGGUAAUGUUACUAUUGUACCAUAUACUUAGUUGUAAAAAGUAAUUGAAAAGCAAAAGUAUGGUAGUUGCCAUUGUACUUGAAUUUUGAAAUCUGGCUGGGUUUCGAUAAAUGAAAAUUUUGGAAUAGUUUAACAUUACUAAA